AUGCUUCUCUAUUUUUUCAGAAAAAUUCAUUGCUUGGAGGAGGUUGGGGAAGGAUAUUGCUGAAAGACCUGCAUAUGGGCUAGGAUGUUGUUGAAUUGCUCUAGGCACUCUGAGAUUUGCCUCAUGUGGAAGGUGACCCACAAAAAGAAACAUGAAGAAAAACCUGGUGCGAUUCUAAUGCUGAGGAAGGUCCUGGUCUCUGACUAGAGCUGACAGCAUCUCCUGAGUACCUUCAAUGUUAGCUUCUGGGGCUUGAGAUCUAUAGGUUAGGAGUAGAGACUGAAAAAGGGAAUUGAUUAUAGUACAGCUAGAUAAAAAUAAAU